GCUUUACUGUAGCCUGUAAUUGGCUCCGGGCUGUGUUUGCGCAGGAUAGGUGGGAGGCGUUGAAGUUGCCCUUGUGGGGGCAGGUGAGCCAACGGUGAGAUACCACUCUAACACAGCUAGGAUUCUAACUUGGAGCCGUAAUCCGGCACGAGAACAGUUGCAGGUGGGCAGUUUGACUGGGGCGGUCGCCUCCCAAAUGGUAACGGAGGCGCGCAAAGGUUCCCUCAGCACGCUUGGAAACCGUGCAUAGAGUGUAAAGGCAUAAAGGGAGCUUGACUGCAAGAGCGACAACUCAAGCAGGGACGAAAGUCGGCCUUAGUGAUCCGACGGCACUGAGUGGAAGGGCCGUCGCUCAACGGAUAAAAGUUACUCAAGGGUAAACAAGGCUGAA
rnacentral:rRNA from 1 species